rnacentral:rRNA from 1 species
CCUACGGGAGGCAGCAGUAGGGAAUCUUCGGCAAUGGACGGAAGUCUGACCGAGCAACGCCGCGUGAGUGAAGAAGGUUUUCGGAUCGUAAAGCUCUGUUGUAAGAGAAGAACGAGUGUGAGAGUGGAAAGUUCACACUGUGACGGUAUCUUACCAGAAAGGGACGGCUAACUACGUGCCAGCAGCCGCGGUAAUACGUAGGUCCCGAGCGUUGUCCGGAUUCAUUGGGCGUAAAGCGAGCGCAGGCGGUCAAUUAAGUCUGAUGUGAAAGCCCCCGGCUCAACCGGGGAGGGUCAUUGGAAACUGGUUGACUUGAGUGCAGAAGAGGAGAGUGGAAUUCCAUGUGUAGCGGUGAAAUGCGUAGAUAUAUGGAGGAACACCGGUGGCGAAAGCGGCUCUCUGGCUUGUAACUGACGCUGAGGCUCGAAAGCGUGGGGAGCAAACAGGAUUAGAUACCCUGGUAGUCCACGCCGUAAACGAUGAGUGCUAGGUGUUAGACCCUUUCCGGGGUUUAGUGCCGUAGCUAACGCAUUAAGCACUCCGCCUGGGGAGUACGACCGCAAGGUUGAAACUCAAAGGAAUUGACGG